CAGGGGACGUGGAUAACCUCGGGAAACUGAGGAUAAACCGCGAUAGGUCACUACUUCUGGAAUGGGUAAUGACUUAAAUCUACAUGGCCCCUGGAUUGGACUACGGCCGAUCAGGCUGUUGGUGAGGUAAUGGCCCACCAAACCUGUAACCGGUACGGGCUUUGAGAGAAGGAGCCCGGAGAUGGGCACUGAGACAAGGGCCCAGGCCCUAUGGGGCGCAGCAGGCGCGAAACUCUGCAAUAGGCGAAAGCUUGACAGGGUUAMUYYKGAGUGAUGCCCGCUAAGGGCAUCUUUUGGCACCUCUAAAAAUGGUGCAGAAUAAGGGGUGGGCAAGUCUGGUGUCAGCCGCCGCGGUAAUACCAGCACCCCGAGUGGUCGGGACGAUUAUUGGGCCUAAAGCAUCCGUAGCUUGUUCUGCAAGUCCUCCGUUAAAUCCACCUGCUCAACAGAUGGGCUGCGGGGGAUACUACAGGGCUAGGAGGCGGGAGAGGCAAACGGUACUCAGUGGGUAGGGGUAAAAUCCUCUGAUCCACUGAAGACCACCAGUGGCGAAGGCGGUUUGCCAGAACGCGCUCGACGGUGAGGGAUGAAAGCUGGGGGAGCAAACCGGAUUAGAUACCCGGGUAGUCCCAGCUGUAAACGAUGCAGACUCGGUGAUGGGUUGGCCUUGAGCCAACCCAGUGCCGCAGGGAAGCCGUUAAGNCUGCCGCCUGGGGAGUACGGUCGCAAGAUGAANUUAA
rnacentral:rRNA from 1 species